UGCAUGUGUGUGUGUGUGUGUGCAUGCGCGCGCGCACACACACACACACACACACACCCUGUA
rnacentral:miRNA from 1 species